CCCUCCCUUCUCGCUCACUCCGGUCACGCUGUCACCAGUCGCCGGCUCCCGAGCCCUGACGGAAAAGCCUGUGAAAAUGAAGAUCUGGGCGUCAGAGCACAUUUUCAACCACCCAUGGGAGACGGUGACCAAGGCGGCGAUGCAGAAGUACCCCAACCCCAUGAACCCCAGUGUGUUUGGUGUGGAUGUUCUGGACAGACGUGUGGAUACAGAGGGACGGUUACACAGCACCAGACUGCUCAGCACAGAGUGGGGGCUGCCCGCCAUGGCCAAGUCUAUCAUUGGGGUGACAAGAACAUGCACUUAUGUUCAGGAGCAUUCAGUAGUGGACCCCAAAGAGAAGACAUUGGAGCUCAAAUCUACAAAUAUCUCCUUCACUAACCUGGUAUCUGUGGACGAGAAGUUGACAUACAAACCACAUCCUCAGGACCCUGAAAAGACGGUGCUGACACAGGAGGCUCUGAUCAGUGUGAAAGGUGUCAGUCUGAGCAGCUACCUCGAGGGUCUCAUGGCCAAGACCAUCUCUGUCAACGCCGGCAAGGGUCGGGAGGCGAUGGAGUGGGUCAUCAGACGAUUAAACACAGAAAUCGAGGAGUUGGCGGCGACCGCUCGUGGCACGAUGCGUGUUCCCAUGGCAGCGGCUGUUGCAGACAAAUGAUCCCGGUCUACCCCGCUGAUCUCUCCACCAUCAUGAACCGAUGGAAUUCUCAAACGUUUUCCCCUCAAAGGGGGCCUCUCAUCUGCCAGCACAGCCUAAUAACCACAGCCCCAUCCUUUUGACAUUGUACUAUGGACAGUUCUACAAAAUUACUUUAAAGACGGUUUGUGGUAUAACUACAACUAUUUUUCAUUGUUAACACCGUCUCCUGAUGGAGAUCAGCAGCAUCACAAGUCUUCCAGGAUGCUCCACAGUCAGUUUCUUGCUCGACUGUCAAGAUCUAAGUUAGUUCAGUCUUUUUCACACUUGCUUCCGGUUCAGCCGAGCUUCUUUUUAACGGCUGGUUCAUAGUUAACUUUCCUUCCCACCGUGUUCAAGAUCAUUCUGUUAAAAGUCUGGCCUGCUGCCUAACUGACCGAUCAGCCAAUCACUAUCCAUACAGCAUCUCCUUUCAUGAAUGAAGUGUGAUAUUUUUCUAUGGGGAACAUUUUAAGAACAAGUGGCUGUAAAUAGGCUUAUAUUUAUAUUUUGGUUGUGUUACAUUCCAAUAAUGUGAACAUGUAACAGAAUCUGAAGAGUGCACACUGAAAUGUUUCAAAAUAAAGAGAUGGCAUUGUUUCAUGAA